GACGAACGCUGGCGGCGUGCUUAACACAUGCAAGUCGAACGGAAAGGCCUGCUUUCCCUUGUGGAUUGCGGGUACUCGAGUGGCGAACGGGUGAGUAACACGUGAGUGAUCUGCCCCCAACUUGGGUAUAAGCCUGGGAAACUGGGUCUAAUUCCCGAUAGGACUGCAGGGUGGUGCCUGUGGUGGAAAACGAUUUUCUAGUUGUUGGGGAUGAGCUCGCGGCCUAUCAGCUUGUUGGUGGGGUAAUGGCCUACCAAGGCGGCGACGGGUAGCCGGACUGGGAGGGUGGACGGCCACAUUGGGACUGGGAUACGGCCCAGACUCCUACGGGAGGCAGGAGUGGGGAAUAUUGGACAAUGGGCGGGAGCCUGAUGCAGCGACGCCGCGUGGGGGGUGACGGCCUUCGGGUUGUAAACUCCUUUGGACCGCGAGGAAGGCACCUGGUUGGAAGGGUGGUGACGGUAGUGGUAGAAGAAGCACCGGCUAACUACGUG
rnacentral:rRNA from 1 species